ACGAACGCUGGCGGCGUGCUUAACACCUGCAAGUCGAACGAAGAGCGAUGGAGGCUUGCUUCUAUCAAUCUUAGUGGCGAACGGGUGAGUAACGCGUAAUCAACCUGCCCUUCAGAGGGGGACAACAGUUGGAAACGACUGCUAAUACCGCAUACGAUCUAAUCUCGGCAUCGAGGAUAGAUGAAAGGUGGCCCCUACAUGUAAGCUAUCACUGAAGGAGGGGAUUGCGUCUGAUUAGCUAGUUGGAGGGGUAACGGCCCACCAAGGCGAUGAUCAGUAGCCGGUCCGAGAGGAUGAACGGCCACAUUGGGACUGAGACACGGCCCAGACUCCUACGGGAGGCAGCAGUGGGGAAUCUUCCGCAAUGGACGAAAGGCUGACGGAGCAACGCCGCGUGAGUGAUGACGGCCUUCGGGUUGGAAAGCUCUGUUAAUCGGGACGAAAGGCCUUCUUGCGAAUAGUGAGAAGGAUUGACGGUACCGGAAUAGAAAGCCACGGCUAACUACGUG
rnacentral:rRNA from 1 species